rnacentral:rRNA from 1 species
GACGAACGCUGGCGGCGUGCUUAACACAUGCAAGUCGAACGGAAAGGCCCUGCUUUUGUGGGGUGCUCGAGUGGCGAACGGGUGAGUAACACGUGAGUAACCUGCCCUUGACUUUGGGAUAACUUCAGGAAACUGGGGCUAAUACCGGAUAGGAGCUCCUGCUGCAUGGUGGGGGUUGGAAAGUUUCGGCGGUUGGGGAUGGACUCGCGGCUUAUCAGCUUGUUGGUGGGGUAGUGGCUUACCAAGGCUUUGACGGGUAGCCGGCCUGAGAGGGUGACCGGCCACAUUGGGACUGAGAUACGGGCCAGACGGCUACGGGAGGCAGCAGUGGGGAAUAUUGCACAAUGGGCGGAGGCCUGAUGCAGCAACGCCGCGUGCGGGAUGACGGCCUUCGGGUUGUAAACCGCUUUCGCCUGUGACGAAGCGUGAGUGACGGUAAUGGGUAAAGAAGCACCGGCUAACUACGUG